rnacentral:rRNA from 1 species
UACGUAGGGGGCAAGCGUUGUUCGGAAUUACUGGGCGUAAAGCGCACGUAGGCGGAUCGUUAAGUCAGGGGUGAAAUCCUGGAGCUCAACUCCAGAACUGCCUUUGAUACUGGCGACCUUGAGUUCGGGAGAGGUGAGUGGAACUGCGAGUGUAGAGGUGAAAUUCGUAGAUAUUCGCAAGAACACCAGUGGCGAAGGCGGCUCACUGGCCCGAUACUGACGCUGAGGUGCGAAAGCGUGGGGAGCAAACAGG